rnacentral:rRNA from 1 species
GAUGACGCUGGCGGCGUGCCUAAUACAUGCAAGUCGAGCGAGCGGCGGACGGGUGAGUAAUGUCUGGGAAACUGCCUGAUGGAGGGGGAUAACUACUGGAAACGGUAGCUAAUACCGCAUACCAUCAGAUGUGCCCAGAUGGGAUUAGCUAGUAGGUGGGGUAAUGGCUCACCUAGGCGACGAUCCCUAGCUGGUCUGAGAGGAUGACCAGCCACACGGGAACGGGGACACGUUCCAGACUCCUACGGGGGGAAGAGGUGGGGAAUAUGGCACAAUGGGCGCAAGCCGGAGGCAGCCAUGCGGGGUGUGGGAAGAGGGCCUUCGGGUUGUAAAGAACUUUCAGCGAGGAGGCGUUACUCGCAGAAGAAGCACCGGCUAACUCCGUGCCAGCAGCCGCGGUAAUUC